CGCGCCAAGAGGAGCAAGCAUUAUAGAACGUGGGGAGCAUGAGAAAUACACGGAGGUGGAAACGCCGGAGUGGCUGGCGGGUAAAGGCAGCGGGCGCAGAUGAAGCGGGCUGGGCGUCCCACGCGCAGAACCGUCCCGGACAGAAGCCGCAGGGGCUGCGCUGGCUGGAAAAAGGAACGCGAGGACAGCGCGCGUGGCGCGGGCGGCUGGGCCAGCUGAAGGUGACCAUGACACACGAGGGAGAGAGAAGCCCGCGAGAGGCGGAGAAUUGUGGGGUCGUCCAGGAGGGUCGACAAGGCAAAGAACCUGAAGACCACCCAAAAGGGUACCUAAGUGGGGCCCUUUCAGGGACUUGGGGCGUAGGGUAGGUGGGUGAGCGCAAGGGACGAGAUGGGUGUGCGCAUGGCACGAGGUGGGUGGGAGCAUGAGACGAGGUGGGUGGGGCGGUGGGUGAGGUCCCCGCCCCCAGACGGGCUGGCGAGGAAGCAGGGAAGAAGUAACGUUGGGCUGGUGGGGCAACGGGUGGGGCGCACUGGAGCUGCGGGGUAAUAGGUGGAACAAACUGGGGACUACACUCGUGGGCGCACGUGCGGAAGAGGGACUGAGGAGGUUCCUGCGUGCUCCCCUCGAGCACCGCCGACAGCUUCACCCGCACCUCCUGCCUUGCCCACCACUGACUCCUACCGCUCCGCGCACUGCGCGCGCUCGACCCUCGUGCAGCCAGCUCCCGGCCGGGUCCGCGCGAGGGCCAGGCUGCCAACCUGCCCGCGGGCGGUUGGCGGUUGG
rnacentral:lncRNA from 1 species